rnacentral:misc_RNA from 1 species
GUAGGAGCUGUAGCAGUAGAGUAGCCUUGUUGCUACGAUCUGCUGAGGCUCAGCUCUUGUUCUACAGAUUUGUGCUUUUGCACUCUCUCCGGUUGCGACGGAGUGGGGCAGCGUUUGCUCCUCUCCUGUGGCCAUCGUAGACAGUACACUGCAUAUCUAACAUGGUCUGAGGACUUAGAAGGCCUGGCUACAUCAUAUCGGUGCUUGGCUUGAGGGCUGAGCACUUGGACGAUUCCGUGGUGGGCUGAAGAACUUGCACGAUUUCGUGGCUGGCUUAAGAGGUUCGUAGGGAGCUUCAGAGUGGGUGGGUUCUUGCCGGGAUCCGAUAUAUGGCCAUAGCCUGGACUUGGAGCUUGGGCCGGCUCGGAUUUCUAGCCAGCUGCCUUACCGGGUGCUGGGUGGACUGAGUGGGAGCUAGCUCAUCAAUACUAACAACAAGGGCUGCCGUUUAUACAGGGUCUGCUUGUGCGCGCUGCGCCCUUAUAUACCGCUGAAAUGUGUACUAUAAUCUACAGCCAUAUGAGAGAGAAAAUACCCCAUCCCCCCCCAUCUCCGGAACCACGCUAUAUA